AGAGUUUGAUCAUGGCUCAGAUUGAACGCUGGCGGCAUGCCUUACACAUGCAAGUCGAACGGUAACGCGGGGCAACCUGGCGACGAGUGGCGAACGGGUGAGUAAUGCAUCGGAACGUGCCCAGUAGUGGGGGAUAGCCCGGCGAAAGCCGGAUUAAUACCGCAUACGACCUAAGGGUGAAAGCGGGGGAUCGCAAGACCUCGCGCUAUUGGAGCGGCCGAUGUCAGAUUAGCUUGUUGGUGGGGUAAAAGCCUACCAAGGCGACGAUCCUUAGCUGGUCUGAGAGGAUGAUCAGCCACACUGGGACUGAGACACGGCCCAGACUCCUACGGGAGGCAGCAGUGGGGAAUAUUGGACAAUGGGCGAAAGCCUGAUCCAGCAAUGCCGCGUGAGUGAUGAAGGCCUUAGGGUUGUAAAGCUCUUUUACCCGGGAUGAUAAUGACAGUACCGGGAGAAUAAGCUCCGGCUAACUCCGUGCCAGCAGCCGCGGUAAUAC
rnacentral:rRNA from 1 species